GGCGGCGUGCCUAAUACAUCGCAAGUCGAGCGAAUGGAUUAAGAGCUUGCUCUUAUGAAGUUAGCGGCGGACGGGUGAGUAACACGUGGGUAACCUGCCCAUAAGACUGGGAUAACUCCGGGAAACCGGGGCUAAUACCGGAUAACAUUUUGAACCUGCAUGGUUCGAAAUUGAAAGGCGGCUUCGGCUGUCACUUAUGGAUGGACCCGCGUCGCAUUAGCUAGUUGGUGAGGUAACGGCUCACCAAGGCAACGAUGCGUAGCCGACCUGAGAGGGUGAUCGGCCACACUGGGACUGAGACACGGCCCAGACUCCUACGGGAGGCAGCAGUAGGGAAUCUUCCGCAAUGGACGAAAGUCUGACGGAGCAACGCCGCGUGAGUGAUGAAGGCUUUCGGGUCGUAAAACUCUGUUGUUAGGGAAGAACAAGUGCUAGUUGAAUAAGCUGGCACCUUGUACGGUACCUAACCAAAAA
rnacentral:rRNA from 1 species